GACGAACGCUGGCGGCGUGCUUAACACAUGCAAGUCGAACGGCAAGGCCCUGCUUUUGUGGGGUGCUCGAGUGGCGAACGGGUGAGUAACACGUGAGUAACCUGCCCUUGACUUUGGGAUAACUUCAGGAAACUGGGGCUAAUACCGGAUAGGAGCUCCUGCUGCAUGGUGGGGGUUGGAAAGUUUCGGCGGUUGGGGAUGGACUCGCGGCUUAUCAGCUUGUUGGUGGGGUAGUGGCUGACCAAGGCUUUGACGGGUAGCCGGCCUGAGAGGGUGACCGGCCACAUGGGGACUGCGAUACGGCCCAGACUCCUAUGGGAGGCAGCAGUGGGGAAUAUUGCACAAUGGGCGGAAGCCUGUUGCAGCAACGCCGCGUGCGGGAUGACGGCCUUCGGGUUGUAAACCGCUUUCGCCUGUGACGAAGCGUGAGUGACGGUAAUGGGUAAAGAAGCACCGGCUAACUACGUG
rnacentral:rRNA from 1 species